GCAUAAUGAGCCUACGAGUUACACCUCUCUGGCAAGGUUAAUGUCCGCAGGACAAGAGCCGCAGCGAAAGCAAGUCCGAACAGGGCGUUUAGUCAGUGGGGGUAGACGCGAAACCUUAGUGAUCUACCCAUGGGCAGGAUGAAGUUCCGGUAACACGGAAUGGAGGUCCGAACUUAUUAGCGUUGAAAAGCUACAGGAUGACCUGUGGGUAGGGGUGAAAGGCCAAUCAAACUGGGAGAUAGCUCGUACUCCCCGAAAUGUUUUUAGGAACAGCCUCGGUUAAAACGUGUCAUAGAGGUAGAGCUACCGAUUGGGCUAGGGGACUUCACCGUCUACCAAACCCUGACGAACUCCGAAUGCUAUGACAUAAAGCCGGGAGUGAGGCUUUGGGCGCUAAGGUCCAGGGCCGAGAGGGAAACAACCCAGACCAUCAGCUAAGGUCCCUAAAUCCAUGCUAAGUUGAUCAAACGAUGUUUUACUGCUAUGACAGCUAGGAUGUUUGCUUGGAAGCAGCAAUUCAUUUAAAGAGUGCG
rnacentral:rRNA from 1 species